rnacentral:rRNA from 1 species
AACGAACGCUGGCGGCAUGCCUAACACAUGCAAGUCGAACGGGAUCCUGGCUUCGGCCAGGUGAGAGUGGCGGACGGGUGAGUAACGCGUGGGAACCUGCCCAUUGGUCUGGGAUAACUGCGGGGAACUGCAGCUAAUACCGGAUGUACCCGAGAGGGGAAAGAUUUAUCGCCGAUGGAGGGGCCCGCGUCAGAUUAGGUAGUUGGUGAGGUAACGGCUCACCAAGCCUACGAUCUGUAGCUGGUCUGAGAGGAUGAUCAGCCACACUGGGACUGAGAUACGGCCCAGACUCCUACGGGAGGCAGCAGUGGGGAAUAUUGGACAAUGGGGGGCAACCCUGAUCCAGCAAUGCCGCGUGAGUGAUGAAGGCCUUAGGGUUGUAAAGCUCUUUUACCAGGGACGAUGAUGACGGUACCUGGAGAAUAAGCCCCGGCUAACUUCGUGCCAGCAGCCGCGGUAAU